rnacentral:misc_RNA from 1 species
AUGAUUUUAGUCAAUUCCCAUAUAUAUUCUGAUAUUUUUCUUUCUGUUGUCUACCUUAUAUCUCCAAUACCCUCUUGUUCUCUCAAUUGUUAGUGUUAAUUUCAUGAACUUGAGCUUCAGUUUAUGUUCCCAAUCAAGAAUUAACCAAGAAUUCCAUGGAAAAUUCUCUUAAUUAUCAAGAUUUUGAAGUCCAGUUCAUGUUAUGGUUGAGUUUUUAUAUACUGUUCAGUGUCAUUCAUUUCUAGAUGUUCUAUUGUAGAAUUAGGCAAAGGAUAAAAUGCAGGUUUUGAAUUUUUUAUCUGAAAGGAAACAGCAAUGUGGCACAAACGCCCUCAAGUAUCCUACAAUAUUAAUGAUGCAAGUUAUUAGUCUUCUAUGCUUAUUUAGUUUCCAUUUUGCAGCUCGACGGGAGCUUAAUUGUUAUUGCUACAAAUGUCAUGGGCUCAACCAGGAUUGAUGUAAAUGGUGAGCCAAUAUUGCAGUAUGGGCACAGGUGUGGAAGAUGUAGACUGCAAAAUGUCAAAGUACUCAAUAAAAGGAUUGAGGCAUUUGAAGUUAUUCUGUAUGGAAAUGCAGAAUUUGAGGCCAAAAAUGUUAUCCUAGAGGUUAGAUUGACAAAAUAAGCAUUUACUACGAACAGAUAAUGUAAUACAUCAGCUUUUUCUUUCUAGCUUUCAAAGACAUAUCUACAGACAAGCUCUUAAGAGAAGGAAUAUGGAUUCAUUAACGAACGUCUUGCAAGCGCGAAUCCAAAGAUAUGCAUGAGAAAGUGGUGAGCAGUAGUCCAAUAUACUCUGCAAAAGCAUGAAGCAGUCACCUUCAGAGCAACUGUAUCUGUACAAAUAAAAAUGUUUAGCUUUCCAUCAACUUUGGGAAUCUCUCAGAAUUCAGACUUCAAGUGCCAAAAGUUCUACAUAAUUUAAUUUCUGUUUUGACAUUGAAAACUUAAGUUUCCUGACAGUGAUCGAUAUAAAUAGUAACAAAAGAUUGGCUUUAUUGAGACUGAUACAUAUGCAAGGGUGUCCCAUGAACAUCAAUCAAAAAGGAUAUCAGUUACAACCAACACUGAUACUUUAUUGAGACUACCUUAUCACAUAUUCAUCAGUUAAGGAUCAACAAGAUGCCUGGGAACGCAAGGAGGUGACAUAGGUUUACAGUUUAGACUAUUAGAAAGUACAGAAUCUGUAGCAGAACAACUUAAUCAUUUACACUGAAUAAUGUUACAACAAUGCAUACACUGCUUGCUAAUCAUCUACAAAAGCUUGAAAUCUGAAUCUGCUAAUGGUGUAACAGACUCUGGAUGAUGGGGCAUAAAACUUCCAGUCUUCAGCUAGUGAUCUGAAGAGUUUUCAUCAGCAUAUCCAGAUUGUAGCUGUCCUUCAGAAUUGAAGUGCUCAAGUUAUCUCACCUAUAACUUCUUCCCUGAACCAGAAGAGGUGUGUUUCGCGCGCUUCAAAGACUUCUUUUCAAGCUCCAUUUGGGCAUCCAUGAACAUGUUCAUCCUUUCGAAUUCUAGUUCCUUAGUGAACUCCAUUCUCUGCUUCUCUAGCUCCACUAUUUGCUGCUGCUUAGAGCUCUCUAUUCUCUCAUAUAUCUCCCCAAACUUCAAUAUAGCUCUCGCUAAUUCCCUACAGGCAGCUCCAUCGGAGAAAUCAACAUCCUCCAUUCGAUGCUGCUUCUUUAUAGCUCUUUCAUCAAACCCUAAAUCAUCAUCGUCCUCAUCUUUCUCGUCGUCCAACGAUGCCUCCGUAGAAUUUGAGACUCCUGGAUAGAGCUCCGGCUUCGAUUUCACUGUGAAUGUUACGGCGGUGGCUGGCUUCUUUUUGGGGUUGACGGUAGCGUUAACCCCGAUGAGGGAAUCGAGACGGUAAUAAAACGGCCAUUUAGAUGGAGCGGGUUUGGCUUUCUCUUGCUUAUACUUCUUCUUCAACGUAUCGAUCCGGUUCUUGCACUGCACGUCCGUUUUCCCUGGCUUGACGCCGUUUUGACGGGCGUUUACUGUGUCAGCCACUUCUUUCCAGUCCUUCUGACGGAGAUUUCCCCGGUUGACUUUAACGUAACGGUCUCCCCACGCCUCUAUUAGGGUCUCCGUCGCACCUUCGCUCCAACAGUCUUCGCGGCCUCCUCCUCCACCGCCGCCUCCUCCGCCGGGUGCGGAGGGGGGACGGGUGGAGAUAUGGAAGGACCGGAUGGCGUCCAUGGGAAAGAGGGGAAGGGAAGUGUGGGAGGGUGUAGUGUGCUAAAGUGCGCCGGAGGGAAAGGGGGAGUAGGAUAAGAGAGAAGAAAGAAUCGGAUUCGAGGGAAAUGGGUAACUGGUAAAGGUAGAGAUGGCCGCGCAUUGUGACCGGCGGUGACGUCAGCUCCCGCACUGGGGAUUAGACGAGAAAUGACUUUUUUUAAGGCAGUGUUUGGAUGAGGA